rnacentral:misc_RNA from 1 species
UCCCGGUUAACCCGGGCAGUCUCACUAGAGUUCCCACCAUUACGUGUUGGCAACUAGUGAUAAGGGUUGCGCUCGUUGCUGGACUUAACCAAACACCUCACGGCACGAGCUGACGACAGCCAUGCAGCACCUGUGCACCGGCCCCGAAGGGAAUACCUAUUUCUAGAUACGUCCAGUGCAUGUCAAACCUGGGUAAGGUUCUUCGCGUUGCAUCGAAUUAAACCACAUGCUCCACUGCUUGUGCGGGUCCCCGUCAAUUCUUUUGAGUUUCACCCUUGCGAGCGUACUUCCCAGGCGGUAUACUUAUCGCGUUAGCUUCGACACAACCAGGGUUGAGUCCGGUUACAUCAAGUAUACAUAGUUUACGGCAAGGACUAC